rnacentral:misc_RNA from 1 species
AACUGGAGAUCGGGCUGGGGAAGAUCCACCCGCUGAAUGAAUGUAAUUAAGUUUUUUUUUUUUAGAUAAAUAAUAUAACUCUUUUGCCUAAGCCAUCUAGUACCUUCUGAGAUCGAAUAAUUACUUAAGAGAUCGUAUAAAACAUUAACUUUUAUUAAAAUAAGUGUUCGCACAAUUAAGACCGGAUAACUGAAUGCAAGACUGAUUGCAAUUUAGAAUUUUGAGGUAUUUGAACACAAUGUUAUUGAAAUCGGAAAACAACAGAAUGUAGGAUCGGAUAAUCCAGAAAUCAGAUAUCGAUAAAAUGAUCGAACAUAAAAAUGCAGAAGAUCAGAUAACCCUGAAACUUGAACAUAUGAACAUGUGAUGAAGAGAUCGGAAAACAACUAAACAUAAAUGUGCAUGAGAUUGAAUAACCUUGAAACUUUUAUUUGGGAAGCAACUUGGACCAUUGUCGAGUUCGGAAGAGUGACUUGUGAUCAGGCCACAAUUAAAAUAACUGCAUAAAAGCUUUUAGAGAAAAUUGUAUGUUAAUUACACAAGUUAUGAAUUUGUGGUUGACCAAAAUAUGGUGUCUACACCCUAUCAAAUAUUAUCUUAUAUUGUUUUCUUCUCUAUUGGGAAGUCACUGCUUUUGGCACUAAAACUUGUUUGUUAGCUUUGCACAAUGCUAAUAGAUGGAACCCUCAUUUCAUGGGAUGCAUCUCCAAAGCUAAUGAAGCAAUAGGCUUCUUUGAACUCUUUUAUAAACUUCCUCAUUAUAACAGUAAGGACCUUCCUUCUGGCAUGGUAAUAGUUAUAUCGGAGGACAACUUCCAUUGUACUUAUAUGUUUAGGAUAUCGG